rnacentral:rRNA from 1 species
UACGUAGGGUGCGAGCGUUGUCCGGAAUUAUUGGGCGUAAAGAGCUCGUAGGCGGUUUGUUGCGUCGGCCGUGAAAACCUGCAGCUUAACUGUGGGCCUGCGGCCGAUACGGGCAGACUUGAGUUCGGUAGGGGAGACUGGAAUUCCUGGUGUAGCGGUGGAAUGCGCAGAUAUCAGGAAGAACACCCGUGGCGAAGGCGGCUCUCUGGAACGCAACUGACGCUGAGACGCGAAAGCGUGGGGAGCAAACAGG